rnacentral:lncRNA from 10 species
AUGGCAGAUGGCAAGCACAAGUACCUUAGAAAAGCGGCAAAAAGGGAGCCAAGAAGAAAGUGGUUGAUCCAUUUUCUAAGAAAGAUUGGUACGAUGUGAAAGCACUGGCUAUGUUCAAUAUAUGAAACAUUGGAAAGAUGCUGGUCACCAGGACUCAAGGAACCAAAAUUGCAUCUGAUGGCCUCAAGGGUCAUGUAUUUGAAGUGAGUCUUGCUGAUCUGCAGAAUGAUGAAGGUGCAUUUAGAAAAUGCAAGCUGAUUACUGAUGAUGUUCAGGCAAAACCUGCCUGACUGACUUCCGUGGCAUGGAUUUCACCUGUGACAAAAUGUGUUCCAUGGUCAAAAAAUGACAGACCAUGAUUGAAGCUCAUGCUUAUGUCAAGACUACUGAUGGUUAUUUGCUUCAGUUAUUCUGUAUUGGUUAUACUAAAAAAUGCAACCAAUAGAUAUUCACCACCAACAGGCUCGCCAGAUCUAGGAGACGAUGGAAAUCAUGACCCAAGAGGUGCAGACAAAUGACUUGAAAGAAGUGGUCAAUAAAUUGAUUCCAGACAGCAUUGCAAAAGACAUACAAAACGGUUGCCAAUCUAUUUAUCCUUUCCAUGAUGUGUUCAUUAGAAAAGUAAAAAUGCUGGAAAUUAAAAAUGCUAAAGAAGUCCAAAUUUGAAUUGGGAAAACUCACAGAGCUUCAUGGUGAAAGUAGUGGUUCUGAGAAAGCUACUGGACAUAAGACAGGUGCCAAAGUUGAAUGAGCUGAUGGAUAUG